rnacentral:pre_miRNA from 1 species
GUGGAAGGGGCAUGCAGAGGAGCGGCCAUGGCCCAUGAUGGGAGCUUUAUUUGCCUCUCGCUCUCUCCUGUGCCUGCCUCUUCCAUU